rnacentral:rRNA from 1 species
CCUACGGGAGUCAGCAGUGGGGGAUAUUGCACAAUGGGGGGAACCCUGAUGCAGCGACGCCGCGUGGGUGAAGAAGCGCCUCGGCGCGUAAAGCCCUAUCAGCAGGGAAGAAGAAAUGACGGUACCUGAGUAAGAAGCACCGGCUAAAUACGUGCCAGCAGCCGCGGUAAUACGUAUGGUGCAAGCGUUAUCCGGAUAUACUGGGUGUAAAGGGAGCGAAGGCGGCACGGCAAGCCUGAUGUGAAAGCCCGCGGCCCAACCGCGGGACUGCAUUGGGAACUACCGGGCUUGAGUGCCGGAGAGGUAGGCGGAAUUCCUAGUGUAGCGGUGAAAUGCGUAGAUAUUAGGAGGAACACCAGUGGCGAAGGCGGCCUACUGGACGGUGACUGACGCUGAGGCUCGAAAGCGUGGGGAGCAAACAGGAUUAGAUACCCUGGUAGUC